AAUAAUAGUGCCUGGUGUAGUGCCAACCCUUCCAUUUCCAUAUUUCCCCCAACCCAAAUCCAACCCAAGAAACUGGCUGCAAAGUGCAAACCCUUCCAUUUCCAUAUUUCCAUUUGAAGUAGAAGCGUGAAUUCAUGGCAGUGGAGCGUGUGCGAAGUCAGGGACGAGAAGCGGAAGCAUUAGCUGUGUGGUGUUGGUGAAGUGUGAAGUUCGAAUCCGUGGCGGUGGAUUUUUUCGACUUUGUGCGCAUGUAUUUUUCUUCAAAUUUGACAGACCUUUGUUAAUUUUUGUGUAUAAAGAAUUAAUUCUGCAACCAGCCCUUCUGCGUUCUACCGCCUGUGCGUAUAUGUCUUCCCUUUAAUUCAAGCCUCUACCCUUUUUCUACUAUGUACACAAAACAAAUUCGAUCCCCCGUUUUUUGCUGUGUUCCAAUCGUCUUUUCUAUGGUUCUCUCCCUUUUUCUUCAAUGUUGGCGUGUAUAUCUGUUCUCCACCAAGGCAGUCGCCUUUUUGUGUAUCCCCCCGGUAGUAUAUAUUAAUUUAAGGCAGCAAUUCUCAUCUACUUGAACUCCAAUUCCCCUCAAAAGGAGCCAACAACUUGUAGUUUAUUUCACCUCAAAUUCCCACCCGUAGCCGCAAUAUCUGUAUUGAGAGAGUUCAAAAGCAAUUGCAUUUUUUUACUACAAAACCAGUCCCUUUUGCCUCCAUUUUCUAUUGCAUAUAUAUGUUCAGCCUUUCAGUCUUUCCUCCAAUUUCAACAAUUGGCAGCCUCAAAUUGUACUUAUCAGUGGACCGUGUGUGAAGUUAGGGACAAGAAACAGAGGCAGCAGUUGCGCGGCGCCUGCAAAUUGGGAAGUACGAACAUGUUUUCAAUUAAUAGAACUCCCCCUCUUGUAAUAUAUUUACUUGGACAGCAAUACUGAUCUUAAUGAAUAUUUACUAAUUUCUUAUAGCUAGUUUUCACUCGAUGAAUGUGGGAACAAAGAAAGAGAAAGCAUUAUAUUAAUUUCCUUAUCGCCCUUACUACAAGACAUCUCAUGGUUAGAAUUUGCAGUAAUGCUCAAACUGAGUUGCAAAUCAG
rnacentral:lncRNA from 1 species